UACGUAGGGGGGCUAGCGUUGUCCGGAAUCAUUGGGCGUAAAGAGCGUGUAGGCGGUCCGGUAAGUCCGCUGUGAAAGUCGGGGGCUCAACCCUCGAAUGCCGGUGGAUACUGUCGGGCUAGAGUGCGGAAGAGGCGAGUGGAAUUCCUGGUGUAGCGGUGGAAUGCGCAGAUAUCAGGAGGAACACCGAUGGCGAAGGCAGCUCGCUGGGACGGUACUGACGCUGAGACGCGAAAGCGUGGGGAGCAAACAGG
rnacentral:rRNA from 1 species